ensembl:lncRNA
CGGGUGAGAUGGAUAUCAGAGUGCAGGAGCCCAGGAACAGAUCCAAGACCUGAAACAUAAGGAGAUUGGAAAGAAAGCCGUCGUGAAAUCUGGAGGGAACCUCCAGGUUUCCACGCUGGUUGUGACGGACACUUACAAGCGGGUGAGAUAGAUAUCAGAGUGCAGGAGCCCAGGAAGAGAUCCAAGACCUGAAACACAAGGAGAGUGGAAAGAAAGCGUUGUGCAAUCUGGAGGGAACUUCCAGGUUUCCACGCCGGCUGUGACGGACACUUAGAAGCAGGAGAGAUGGAUAUCAGAGUGCAGGAGCCCAGGAAC